UACGUAGGGUGCAAGCGUUGUCCGGAAUUAUUGGGCGUAAAGAGCUCGUAGGCGGUUUGUCGCGUCUGCUGUGAAAACGCGAGGCUCAACCUCGCGCCUGCAGUGGGUACGGGCAGACUAGAGUGCGGUAGGGGAGAUUGGAAUUCCUGGUGUAGCGGUGAAAUGCGCAGAUAUCAGGAGGAACACCGGUGGCGAAGGCGGGUCUCUGGGCCGUAACUGACGCUGAGGAGCGAAAGCGUGGGGAGCGAACAGG
rnacentral:rRNA from 1 species